rnacentral:lncRNA from 1 species
UGAGGCCAGGAGUUCAAGACCAGCCUGGCCAACAUAGGGAAAUCCCAUCUUUACUAAAAAUAAAAAAAUUAGAUGGACGUGGUGGCUCAUGGCUGUAAUCCUAGCUACUGAGGAGGCUGUGUCAGGAGAAUAGCUUGAACCGGGGAGGUGGAGGUUCAGUGAGCCCAGAUCGUGCCACUGCACUCCAGCCUGGGCCACAGAGUGAGACUGUCUCAAAAAAAAAAAAAAAAACCCAAAACUUAAUAGCUUGUGUUUGAAAGUAGUUGCAAAACGCGACACCCUUGUUAAGAGUGAGUAUGGCAGACACGUGGGGAGUGCCUUUGCUGCUGCUUCCCUCAUUAGCACAGAUACUUUGGAGUUGACGAACAUGUGACGUUUGAAAUUGAACGUAUGCUUUCAUUGAACAUUGUACUUUUCCUGGGUCUUUACUAAGGAACAUUCCUCAUAUACUAGACGAAAUUGUAUCAGAUGCUUUCACAUCACAAAUAGAGCCAUUUUGUAUUUGAUGUUUUGCUUUCAAAAUUAUGCAACAGUAUAUUUUGUUUUAACAGAAUAUAAAUAAUGCUGGGUAAGAAGAGUGGCCAACUGCCCGAUAAGUUAAAAUUCCAGUGAGAGAGAACUAGGAAAACUGAGCUCUUGAACAGCUCUGAAAACAUUGCGUUGAGGUAUCUAGCAAUGUCAUUUAUUAUGAAUUGUUAGUCAAAACCUGUUUAUAUGAUUUUUCACAGUGGUUUUAUACCUAAAAGGCAUUGGAUCAAGAAACAAAGUUAUUACAAUUUGGGUCUUCUCUAAUGAAUUACCCUGUCCGUGUUUAUUUAAGUGUAAAUGAACAUACAGUUAUGUGCUGCUUUAAUGAUGUUUCAGUCAACAACAGACCGCAUGUACGACAGUGGUCCCAUAAGAUUAUAAUGGAGCUAAACAAUUUCUAGUGACCAGUGAGUUGUGUUACAGUUGCCUACGGUAUUCAGUACACAACAUGCUGUACGGGUUUGUAGCUUAGGAGCAAUAGGCUCUAGCAUAUGGCCCAGGUGUGUAGUUGGCUAUACCAUCUAGGCAUGUGAUCCCACAAUGACAAAAUUGCCUAAUGCCACAUUUCUCAGAACAUAUCCCCAUCAUUAAGCAUGGCUGUGUAUCCUAAAACUGAUCUUUAUUUUGGCAGUUUAUAAAUCAUGCAUAUAUUUCCCCCCGCUCCUUGGGGGAAAUGGUUUCUCAGAUAUUUUGCACUUCCUCUUCAAACUCUGAAGUACACAGGCAGUGGUCAUGCGGCGUGAUCUAAGUUAAAAAGGCGUGGCACCUGUUUACCGGGAUCCACCCUUGUGGACUGAGAGUUUAGUCCACAUCUGAUUCGAUGUUUGUAGCCUCACAUUUAUUAUACAUCUUUCCACUUCAGAAACAUAAGUUGAUCUGUAGUCAAUGGGUAGUGGUACAUUUUGGUCACUUUGCUGUCCUCCACCUGGUUAGAUAACCAAGAUAGUGUGUGUUCUUCCAAAUUGAUGGUAAUGAGGAAAAGAAAAGCACUUGGAGAAUGUUCUGGACAGUUAGAAUGAUGACAGAAAAGCAGGUCAACAACACCAGAAUGUCGAUUACGGGCCAGUUAUUGAGCCCUAAGAAUCAGAGUUCUGUACCUUGCAUUUUCAGGGAUUUUCAAUGUUAAUAUGACCCCUAAGUCCUAAUUUUAGGAAAACAGAAUUUGAUGUGUAAAAUAUGUGUAAGAAUAAUCAUAGCUUAUGAUGACAUAAAAGUUUACGAUGCUGGUAUUGCCUUUGAGUUGAUAAACAAUUUCAGUGGGCUGAUUUGUGGCAGCCCUUGUGAGCUACCAUCUAGCAUGUAUGUCUUAAAAUUUGAAAAAAGGCUAUUAAGCAACUCCAUUUUUCUGUAUGUCAGCAGAUUUCAUAAGAGUGAAAUUUCAGUUCAGCCUUUUCAUGUGAGUUAUUACAAAAGUGAACUACAGGUUUCAAUUUUGUGUCUUUUAUGAGUCAUUCUGGCAUUUUGUGCCUUUUCUCACACAUUGUUCUAGGCAGCCCCACCAACUCCUGUGACAAAGAUGGACUGGGGGAGGCCAUCUUCCUAAAGUUGCUGUCUGAACAGUUAAGUAGUAAAUUAUACCAACCAUGAUGAAUUGAAAAGAAGGCUUCUGGGGAAAGUUUGUUAUUAGAGCCAACUUCUAUUAUAUGCCCUUAAAGAAGGUAAAAUAGAUACACCAAUGGCAAUGACUUUGGAAUGCAGGUCAAGUUUCAACCUAGAAGUUGCCUGCCCUCUAUCCUUGGUGGCCCGCCUUCCUCAUUUUUAUUCUUUUAGCCUCCAUAAUUGGAAUGCGUAUUGGACUUUAGGCUAGGAAUAACAUUGUAAAUGAAAAUGUUGAUGUUGAAAGAGGAAUUUAAAUAGAGCGAAGAGUGAUAUUAGAAAUUUGGAAGUGGUAUUAGUUCUGGCUUGUCCGUAAGACCUGACUUUUGCAUGAUAACAAUAGGAUUCAUUCACUUGAACAUAAUUCGGUCUGGUCUUAGGAGGAAUUAGAACUGCUUUUGCACCCCUGUUUUUUUCACUGCGAGGAAGAAGAGGAGCUCACGAACUUCAUAAAGCGUUAGUGUCUCCUCCAGUUGAUGGUUAUCGAAAUGAGUCAGGAUGGAAGGCUUAGUGUACGUGUGAGAUGUUACAAAAGUGGACCUUAAAUGUUUCUUGAGUGUUUGGAUCUUAAGAGAAAAUCUUUGACAAUAAGUAUUUAAUCUUCAUUUCUUACAAUCAUUCCUCUUAAAAUGGAGCUUUAUUUUUUAAAAACGUAUUUUUUUUUUCUUAAGAAACAGGGUCUUGCUCAUUCAUUCAGGCUGGAGUGCUGUGGCAUGAUCAUAGCUCACUGCAGCCUUGAUCUCUCAGGCGCAGGUGGUCUUCCUGCCCCAGCUUCCUGAGUAGUUGGGACUAUAGGCAGGCACCACCAUGUACAGCUAAUUUUUUUAUUUUUUAUUUUUUAUUUUUCAUAGCAACAGAGUCUCACUGUGUGGCCCAGGCUGAUCUUGGAACUCCUGGACUCAAGUGAUCUUCCUGCCAUAGCCUCCCAAAGUGUUGCCUGAAAUAGAACUUUAUUAAUAUAUCUUUAAUAUGUCAAGAUGUUUAAAACUUGUCAAGAUUUUAAGGAAGUUGGGCUAACAUUUCCUCUUGGGAUGCUGAAAGUUGUUGGUUUUCUCAGACUCUCACAUAAAUUCAUUUGCUUUUCCCUUCUCCUUCCACCUCUAUUAGCUCUUUAUUUUCUAGGGGGGAUUCUGAUGUCUGUAUUGAGCUGGCCGUCAUGCCGGGAGUGGUCUGCUUAUGUAUUUACAUGCGUGCUCAUCUUUGCUAUAGCUGAGCGUGGUGCAGCUCCUUACCUGUUCCAGGUGCGGAGUGAUCUGCCGCACAAUGAAUGAAGUGGCAGAGCCAGGGCGCGAACCCCCGUCUUCCUGGUUUGUGUGCCUGGGCCCUUGCCCUUUACUGUGCGUCUUCUCAGGAGCUGUCAUUUAGACUUUCUGGACCAGGAGCUAAAUGACCUUUAAAGUCUGUUGAGUCAUUUCUAACAAAUAUGAGUGGAGUCAUUUGCCGUAACCAACAACUUUAAUCUCCAGAUGUUUAAUUGAUCCUGUAUUACUGUCUAAUGAGAACUUACUGUAUGCCAUGCACUGUCUAGUUGGAGUAAUGAUUGGCCUUGCCUUCAGGGUAGUCUAAGGCAUAAGAUCAGAAAGGAACAGAUGGCAGCUGGGUGGCACACAUCUGUAGUCCCAGCUACUCGGGAGGCUGAGGCACAAGAAUUGCUUGAGACCCAGAGGCGGAGGUUGGAGUGAGCUAGGAUGGUGCCACUGCAUUCCAGCCUGGGCGGCAGAGUGAGACUGUCUCAAAAAAAAAAAAAAAAAUCAGUCACUUGCUGGUCUUUUAAUAUACAUAUACGAUUUACUGGUGUCAUCUGGGUAUCUUUUACUAACAUCUCUAAAACUGAGCUCAUUACCACACUAAACAAAAAAUAACCUGCUCAUCUGUUGUAUUCCUCCUCUAGUUGGAUAGCACUGCUGCCCCAGUCAGUGAGAACCUUCUAGUAUAUCUGUUCUUCCUCAGCUUCCAUUUGGUGGCUUCAACCCCUGACCUUCCCAGAGUUUCUGCAGCCCUUGGAUUGGGCUAAGCAUCCUUCCCCACCCCCCGCCCCCCAUCUCCCAACACCCCUUCAGCUUAGCCUGUACAGUGUGUGUUUGGAGCCAGGGACAUCACAGUUCGUCCCUUCACUGGUCUGCGAGCUUGCCUAGGGCAGGACCACCUUGCAUUCAUCUCUGUGCCUUCCUUACCCGGUGCCUAGGCAGGGCUCAGCAGGGGUUUACUCGCCUUCAGCGAAAGGCAGCAUGUUAUUUAACAAAGGUUUCAGCCACACACCAUGGCUCAUGCCUGUAAUCCAAGCACUUUGGGAGACCAAGGCAGGUGGAUCACUUGAACUCAGGAGUUCAAGACCAGCCUGGCCAACAUGGUGAAAUCCUGUCUCUCCUAAAAAUACAAAAAUUAGCCGGGCGUGGUGGUGCACGUCUGUAAUCCCAGCUACAUGGGAGGCUGAGGCAGGAAAAUCACUUGAACCCAGGACACAGAGGUUGCAGUGAGCCAAGAUUGCACCACUGCACUCCAGCCUGGGUGACAGAGCAAGACUUGUCUCAAAAAAACAAAGGUUUCUAUGUGGGAUUUUUAAGUGAAGCCCCUUAUAUAUUGAGGAAAGGGCUCAACCUCUUGAGUCAGGUGGACCCAGGUUCACAGGUCAUUUCAGCUGUUAUGUGACCUCAGUUUUCUCAUCUGUAAAAUGGGGUUGGUAACUAUCUCUGACAGUAGGGUUAUGAUAAUUAUGAAUAAUAUACACAAAGCUUCUAGCACAGUGUCCCUCACAUGACAGGUGCUAUCUCUGCUGGGUGUCAUCACAUGCAGGCUUGGGGUUCAGUUCGUAACUGAUCCAUUAUUCAUUUA